GAGUCCCGUACACUUCGAAGCUUCCUCGGGGAAUCGUUCUUGGAAAGUGAGAAAUUUCGCCUACAUUAUUUUUAGUGCAAUUAUUUCUCCAGUUAUUCCCUUUGGAGAAUCAAAGAGAAGAACCCCUAAGCCAGCAACUUUCGCGACACUCCCUGACGUGGGCUCCAGGAGCGCAGCGUGGAGACUCAGGACUACAUUUCCCAUACUACACCGAAUCUAACCCGGAGGUUCAAAUUGCGCUCUCUCGACUCGAGAAUUAAAGUGAAAAAUAUACAUUAAAAACACAUGCAAGUGUAUUUUUCUGGCUGUAGCACCAGUUGCCUUGCCUCGGUGGGAAUCGUUUUACAGGAACAGCGGCUAGUUUAGGUUCCAGAACGCGUUCCUGAGCUUCAACGGGCCAAGUGUGUUACCAGGAUCAGAAGGCGGAAGCCAGAGGACCAAAUUGGCGGGAGAAUGUUUGUGAUCCACGACCAGAGGCGCGGUAUAACUUCUUGAGGUUCCUGGUCUCGGGUGAGGAGCGUUGGGGUUUGUUGACCCGGAGCGUAGUAGCCGAAGGGUGGUGGUGGGGGGAGGUGGCAUCAAAGAAGUGGACAAAGCAGCGUGUUCGGGAUUCUUCAGAUUCAGGGCAGCAGAGGCUGUCAUUGCUAUUUCACACAUCUUAAUACUCUUUCCUGCCCCACAUUCUGCUUCCCCAGCUCUCACCUUUACCCGCUUUCUGCACACCCCACCUCCACUUAGACCUUCUUAACUGAUUUUCAGC
rnacentral:lncRNA from 1 species